UUGUUUUUUGCAUGUUUCUUUCUAAGUCUAAGUUAAUACAUUAAAUAACAUUGAAAUGUUAAAAACACAUUAAUAUUUAAUGGACAUAGCAUUUACUCUCUUCUUCAAAAAUGACAUACAGUAGUUUUAAUCCAGUGAAGCAGGCAGUUUUUCUGUCAUCCUGUUUUGUCUUUUCAUUUUGUGUGUGUUUUUUCAACAUGUUUGAGUGGGAUUGUAUGACAUUUCUUUCUAAACAAUAUAACACCUAAUUUCUUUGUUUAAACGAGAGCUGAACCUGGACUGAUUUGUCAGACCUGUUCUUUUCAAUGAAAAACUUUGUGAAUCAGUCUCACUUUCCUCUUUCACUGACGCUGUGCCCCUCCUCCUCUCCACCCUUCCUCCACCUCUCGCUGAUCGCUCUCUGUCUGCUGUUUUUCAAACUUGGAGUUUUUUCUAAAUACAAAGCCUUUCAACUGUAAAAUAAACUGUACAUUUCUGAAUAUAUCAUCACAUACGGACACAGAAGGACCUCUGGAUUAAUGUUGGAUUUUCAUGGUGGGUUAAUUUUUUUUAUUUAUUUUUCUGCAGUUCAGAGCGGAGCAGAGAUGCUGUUUUCAGCUGCUGCCCUGCACAACUCUGUGGCCACCGAACGCGCUGACUAUCUGAUCUCUGCUGUUUGCGAUUUGAUAUAAAGAAAAUGGGAAAUAUACUUCUUAUUACUUUAGUUGUUGGUUUAAAAUGCCAAAACUAUGACUCUGUAAACUUGAAAUAUGAUCGAAUUGGUACAUUAUCAGCAAGAUUUGAGUUCAUUUUUCAGAAAUUCUGUGCUGGCUGGUACAGUCAGUUUGAACUCGAGAGCCGGGUGCAAAUGUGCAGUACCAGGCAGGGCCAUAUACAUAUAUAUGUACACCUGGGGCAACUUGGGGAUUAAGUGCUUACAUAAAGGCACCUUAGGUUUUCUUGUCACCUCAGGUAAUUGAACCUAUGACCUUCGAGUCAUGCAUCUUCUUCUCUAAGAUAUAUAAAAUAAAUAGGAUGCAGUUGUCAUUGAUGUUGUACAUGUCAGGUUUGUGUGUAAAAUUAACAUUUGUAUUGUUACUGAAUCUGAGUUAUGCCUUUUGUAUG